CCUACGGGAGGCAGCAGUCGAGAAUCAUUCACAAUGGGGGAAACCCUGAUGGUGCGACGCCGCGUGGGGGAAUGAAGGUCUUCGGAUUGUAAACCCCUGUCAUGUGGGAGAAAAUUAAAAAGAUAGUACCACAAGAGGAAGAGACGGCUAACUCUGUGCAAGCAGCCGCGGUAAUACAGAGGUUUCAAGGGUUGUUCGGACUCACUGGGCGUAAAGGGUGCGUAGGCGGUUUCGUAAGUCGUGUGUGAAAGGCGCGGGCUCAACCCGCGGACGGCACAUGAUACUGCGAGACUAGAGUAAUGGAGGGGGAACCGGAAUUCUCGGUGUAGCAGUGAAAUGCGUAGAUAUCGAGAGGAACACUCGUGGCGAAGGCGGGUUCCUGGACAUUAACUGACGCUGAGGCACGAAGGCCAGGGGAGCGAAAGGGAUUAGAUACCCGUGUAGUC
rnacentral:rRNA from 1 species